GGGACGGUGGCAGAACCUGCGGGCUAGGUGGGAGGCUCACCCUCGGGGAGGAAGGGAAGCAAGGAGCGCCGCCGCGGAGGAGCGAGGAGCCGCUGGGAGGCCGGGGGUCGGGCCGCCGCCGCCUCCUCCUGCAGCCGAGACAGCGCAGCCGGCGGGCGCACCAGCCGCAACGGCUACCCUGCGCGCAGGGAGGCGGAGGAGGAGAGUGGCUCAAGGAGACUUCAUUUUCCUGGAUUUGCUGCAGUUCCUUAAACCCAACCAGGCUUUCGGGGCGUUAAAGUAAAUUACUGGUGGCAGUGUAGAAGCCAAGACGGGAGCUUCCAGAAGUGGUUUCCGAAAAAUAAGAGUGAAUAUACCGGAGUAAGCAAGCACAGGGGUCUGAAAAACCACAGGGCUGAAUAAUAUUUCAUCGCACGUAGACACCACAUCUUCUUCAUCCACUUACCUGUGGAAGUCGUGUGUCUUUUUUGUAAAGUGUUCUGAUGCAAGCUCUUCUUGGAAGUUAAAGCAACCUAACCACAGAGGACCUCGAGGACUCAAAUCCCAGUCACGUGUGGUGGAGAAACCGAGUCACAAAACGUUGCAGCAUCCUUGGAGUUCUAGAAAGAACUAAAAUAGCAUAUGGCUAAUUUAGGACGGAAAGAUGGGAACAACUUCUCCUUGAUUGGUGCUCUCUUGAAGAGAAAUCCUUUUGCUCAUCUCGGAAUGAAAUGCAGAUAACUCUUUAGAAAACUUUUCGUAGGAAAAAAAGCGCCUCGUGUGAUCUGGAACAAAGACAUUUUAUAAUCAGAUUUAUCAAGCUGUGAAGAGGGCGUUUUAGCCAACGGAAGCAGCGGCAUUCUGUCACCGGGAAAUACUGCUUUAUCCAGAAUUGAGCCCUUUACCAGGAGGCUGCGGAUCCUCCGGCUGCUGGAUGUCGUCCUGAGUGCAGCGAUUGGAGAGUCCUCAGUAAUGCAAGCUUUACCUUGAUUUACACAGAACACACACCCACCCAGAGUUAAGUUCUGGGGUGAUGAGUCUUCUGUUAUUAGAUGGAGUGGGGGACCGUCAAGGUCUUGUGAAUAACGAGAUGUAUUUGAUUUCAACACCACAAAUGGAAGGAAUCUGUAUUAUUUUAUCCAUGGAUUGUUUGUCUCUUUUUUUUUUUCCCUCUCUCUGCCCCCUGUGGAAGGUAUCAUUUGGUCACAAAACUAUCCUCCUGUCUGUCUGUCUGUCUGUCUAUUUAUCUGUCGAUCUAUAAAUCAAGCAUUUGGUUACAAAACUAUCUACAUUUAUCUAUCUAUCUAUCAAUCAUCUACCUACCUACCUACCUGUCUUAUAUGUCCAUCUAUCUUAUCCAUCUAUCCAUCCAUCCAUCCAUUUAUUCUCUUCAUUUCUUGACUUUUAAAUGGGCAUUCUCAAAAUAACGUGGUGAUUUCAGUUUAAGGACAUUUCACUUGUCGUAAAUACAUCCCAGCAGUGCAUUGUGACUUGUGCUUGUCCUUUCCCCAUGGUAGAGAAUUUGAAAGCCAGAAAUCUCAAAUGCAAGCAGGCAAGUGAUGUGGAAAUCAUAUGUGGGAAGACUGGACAGGCCCGACGUCCAGGUCUGGGGCAUGAACCUGGCAUACAAUGUAGAUUUCUGUGUUUGAUGGGCAACAGCUACAUUGUCUGCUGGGUUUCAGGCUACCUGGAAACAUGUGCUUCAUGGCGGUUUCAUCAAUGCUUCACCUGUACUGUUUUGGAAUAACUUUUCUAGGAGGCAUAAUGAUCCGUGUGCUCUAUCAUUGGACAAAAUGCAGAGAAAGAACCCCAGGAGGGCUGAUCACCAUAGCAAACACUGAUUUUAUUAUGAUUUUACCCAAGAUGGUCAAAUAUCAGCCCAGGAAACUCAAUGAAUUGGACCCAAGGUGUAAUGCUGUCUUUCCUUCUCUCUGCCUCAGCUCUCAAGGAUGGGUCACUCACAUGUUGUUAUUAAUUAUUGUUUGGGUUUCUGUCCAUAUUUCCUAUGGGCCUAACCACAAUGCCCGGCUCCCUCACCAUCCAUUCCUCCUCGUUUUGGCUUCUUGCCCACCUACGGGGGCCUGGUUUAUUUUUGUUCUGUCUUCACCACAGACAGCCCCAUCAUUUUUGUGAGUGAUUCUCAGUCUCACCAAAAUCCAUCUCUCACUCUGCCCAGCAUCGAAUCCCAUCAUUUGCUCCCUGAAGUGAACUCUAGAAUUGAGGGAAACUGGAUUUUUCUUUCUUUUUUUUUUUUUUUUAUUUUACCACUGUUCCCCAUCUCUUACGAGACCAGAAGUAAAGUAGCUUUCUUAUAGAAUGACAGAGAACUUGUGAAGAGAAACCACCAGUCUGCAGGAGUAAAGGAAGAAAAGAAUGAUGGAAAAUCAGUUUACAUCUCUAAACACUAAAAAGAAAAAAAAAAGAAAGAAAAAAUCAAGCUAAACCCUCAAUUUUUUAAUAAUAAAAAGAAUAUGACUUUUAAAAGAGAAGUUAUAAACCCUUGGUUGUAUGAACUGGAGACUUUUCAGUAAGAAAUCAUGUCUUUUACAUGAAUAUGAAUUAACAGAUUUAAAGUUGAAAAUGAAUGUAAGGAACGCAAGCAAAGUCUGCAUGUAAUAGCCGAUGGUAAUGAUAUAAUGUAUUUUGUCACUCCCUGCUGAAUUCAAUAAAAAUAAAGCUAAUGACUUGGAGCUUUUAAAA